UUKGGAGGGCAAGUCUUGGUGCRAGCAGCYGCGGUUAAUUCCAGCUCCAAUAGCGUAUAUUAAAGUUGUKKCAGUUAAAAAGCUCGUAGUUUGAACUUCGGGACYGGWGGGUUGGUCGUWCCUCCGRUACGUACUGGUCUUACUGKUUCSUCCYUUSUGAAGAACCACGAUGUCAUUAAUUUGGUGUCGUGGGGAWUCAGGACUGUUACUUUGAAAAAAUUAGAGUGUUUAAAGCAGGCUAAAGCUUGAAUAGAUUAGCAUGGAAUAACGAAAUAGGACGUUUGAUCUUAUUUUGUUGGUUWCUAAGAUCGACGUAAUGAUUAAUAGGGAUAGUUGGGGGCAUUAGUAUUCAAUUGUCAGAGGUGAAAUUCUUGGAUUUAUUGAAGACUAACURCUGCGAAAGKAUUUGCCAAGGAUGUUUUCAUUAAUCAAGAACGAAAGUUAGGGGAUCGAAGACGAUCAGAUACCGUCGUAGUCUUAACCAUAAACUAUGCCGWCUAGGGAUCGGAUGAUGUUAAUUUUUUAAUGAC
rnacentral:rRNA from 1 species